rnacentral:rRNA from 1 species
GGUAAUUUGACCGUGCAAAGGUAGCAUAAUCAUUAGUUUUUUAAUUGAAAGCUGGAAUGAAAGGUUGGAUGAGAAAAAAGCUGUCUCUGUUUAAUUUAUUUAGAAUUUUAUUUUUAAGUUAAAAAGCUUAAAUUUAAAUAGAAGACGAGAAGACCCUAUAGAGUUUUAUUAUUUUUUUUUAUAAAAAUAAUAGUAUUUUUUAAUUUUAUAGGUAAAAUUAAUUUAGUUGGGGUGAUUAAAAAAUUAAAUUAACUUUUUUUUUAUAAAUACAUUUAUAUAUGAUUAUUUGAUCCUUAAUUUGAGAUUAAAAGAUAAAAUUACCUUAGGGAUAACAGCGUAAUUUUUUUUGAGAGUUCUAAUCGAAAAAAAAGAUUGCGACCUCGAUGUUGGAUUAAAAUAAAAUUUUGGUGUAGAAGCUAAAA